UACGAGGGGGGGCUAGCGUUGCUCGGAAUCACUGGGCGUAAAGCGCACGUAGGCGGAUUGCUAAGUCAGGGGUGAAAUCCUGGAGCUCAACUCCAGAACUGCCUUUGAUACUGGCGAUCUCGAGUCCGGGAGAGGUGAGUGGAACUGCGAAGUGUAGAGGUGAAAUUCGUAGAUAUUCGCAAAGAACACCCAGUGGCGAAGGCGGCUCACUGGCCCGGUACUGACGCUGAGGUGCGAAAAGCGUGGGGGAGCAAACAGG
rnacentral:rRNA from 1 species